GAGUUAUGUUGACCUCUCUCUCGUUCACAGUGAUAGGAGCGUCUGUACUGCAGCGAGAUGGGGGGGUCUGGACUGAGAGACUGAGAGUUUAGCUGGUGUGGGUGGAUUGCGUGGAUGGGGGUCAGGCGAUGGGGGGGGGGUUAGUUCUCUGGCUCUCUGGUUGUUUGAACGUUGUGAGUGAGGGCUCAGAAAUGACGGAGUAGGCAUGAAUGGACCUGGCUGUUUAUUAUGUGGGUCAGUGGGCUCCACUUUAACCUUUCAGCUUCACCUCUUUCUCUUUCCUACAGGAAGUGACCAAUAGACCCGAGCCGUGCGUCUGGCCGUGCCUGAAUGAAAGACAAGUAAUGUGUGCAGCCGGGACCCGGAAAAGAAGUCAAACACAGGUGUAAGGUGACAUCUGUCCACAGCAGGCCUAAGGGACCUCACCUGACUGACUGGGGCCAGAAUGUCAGGAAUGCGAGUUCAAAACUUGGUCAAUCGGCCAGAGUGGUCGGCCAGUCUACCAGCCAUCCAUCUGAGGCAUCCCAGGUCAGAAGAACUCACACCCGCAGUUUCUCUCGGCCCAGACUGAGGAAUGUCCUGCUAGGAGUUUUGUUAUUGCCCCUUGAGACCUGGGAGAGAGAAGGAGAGGGAGACAGAGAGCGAAAGAGAGAGAGAGAGAGAGAGAGAGAGAGAGAGAGAGAGAGAGAUAGGGAGACCACCCUGCUCCAACCCAACAGCCCAUCUCUCACGUUGUACAGAAGGUUAUAUUUUGGUUUGUAAGGGCAUAUUGAGCAUACACUCCUGAUACUGUGUUGACAUCAGUUGUUAGGAAUGUCUGUCAAUGCACUAAUCUUUCCUACCCGGCUCAACACAUAGUUGAGUGUAGCGUAUCACUCUGUUUUGAAAAGGGGACAUGUGUGGGAGGUGUGUAUUACUUCCUUUGAUGUUUGUCAGGUCCUGAAUACCACUGCAGAAAUAUGUUAGAGUGGUCAGAAAGAGAAACAAGAUAUGGCAACUCUUGACUGGCUAAUCAUAGAGUCGUCAUGAUGCCAAAGUGAUGAUGAGGAAUUGUAGUUUUAAACACAGUGGUUUGAAGAAAAGCAACACUUCAGCAAAUGGGAAAUGGGAUGGAAUCUCUCCUCUGUGAAUGUAAACACAGUCUCUCUCUCUCUCUCUCUCUCUCUCUCUCUCUCUCUCUCUCUCUCUCUCUCUCUCUUUGUUCUCCAGUGUUUACCAUUGUCUUUCUCUUCUCACUCUCCUCAAACCACAUGGGCGUGCCGUGCACUCCUCUCCUCUGUUGAGCUCUUCCACAUCC
rnacentral:lncRNA from 8 species